GUGGCGACCCCUGAUGGGAGAAGCCGAAAGUGGAAGAAGAUUUUUUGCUUUUCUUUUAGUUUGGAGAGAACUAUUAAAAGUAAUUGUUUGUGUCAGCCUGUGCUUUUAAACUGUGAUUCAGACAUUAAAAUAUUAAUUGGAGAGAACUUUUUGUAGCUCAGAAACAAAACAGAAGACAAAACAGAAGUCUUGGUUAUCGGUUCUGAAGCAGAGAGAGAGAUAAGGUUGUUUUUUUCCAUCAACCAACUGUAUGAGAUCGUAAGGAACCUUGGUUUGAUCUUAGAUGCUGACGAAUAUAGUGUGACGAAUUUAUGAACUGCAUGGUGAACCUGUACUCCUGAAAUCAUUGUUCAAAGCAGCAGCAGUUGCGACACAUGGGCCAUGCCAUGUGUCGACAGGAGGAAUGACAGUGCUCAUACAAAAUUAUUUUACAGCAUUUGGCCUACAAUCGUACUUAAAAAGGUUUUGUACAACAUGCCCUACCUGUAUACGGAAAACCCACAUGCGACCAAAGCGGGGAGCUUUUCCUAAGCCAUCCUACCCUUUCCAGGUAUUACACAUGGAUUUCAUUGAACUUACUGCAAGUGGCCCCUAUAAGUACUGCCUUGUGCUAAUAGACGCAUUCUCAAAGUGGGUAGAAAUAAUCCCUACCAAAAAAGCUGACGCGAUCUCAGUAGCAAAAGGUAUCUGUAAAACCAUCAUUCCCAAUUAUGGAAUACCAGAAAUUAUAUAUAGUGAUAAUGGAGCCCAUUUUGUUAACACCAUCAUCCAAAACAUGGCCGCCAGCCUAAAAAUGAUGUUUAAAAAUCACUGUGCAUACCACCCACAAAGUGCAGGACUUGUGGAACGCACAAAUGGAACAGUAAAAAGCAGACUCAAAAAAUGCAUGGAAACAACAGGAAGACCAUGGCCAGAGUGUUUAGAUCUAGUAAAACUAUAAAUGAGAAUCACACCUACAUCAGAUGGCCUGACACCCUUUGAAAUAGUCUAUGGAAGGCCCUAUAGGUUACCUAUAGUAGCCUUAGACUUACAAAAAGCUAAUGAAGAAAAAACAAUAGCAGAUUUUAUCAUAAGAAUGAUAAACCAGAAGGAGGUGUCCAAUGCAAAUUUACUGCCAUCUGACUCCUUAUCUCCACAGGAAAGCUCACCGGUGAAACCAGGCGACUGGGUGUUCAUCAAGGUCCUAAAAAGGAAGAAUUGGGCCAGCCUACGGUGGGAGGGACCAUACCAAGUCCUCCUAACAACACCCACGGCAGUAAAAAUAGCUGAACGCCCCAGCUGGAUACAUCUCAGUCACUUGGCGGUUCGUCUCAAUCGUCAGCGAAGAAACCAGCCGAACCCAACAUCCAUUAGAACCUGGGUCUUUGAAGUGACUCUGCAACCUAGCAGCAUGGAAGGCCCACUGCUGGGAGACCACAGCAGGUGGGCGCGGAGCUGCGCUGUGACUGUAGCAUGUCUUCUUGUCGCAUUGACCUUCCUAGCAAUGGAGAAACCAGGAGAAGGCGGUAUCAACCUCGUCCACCGCUCAUGGGAUCUGUAUGAAAAGACAACUCACCUCAAUAUUGCCACCCAUGAUCAUUCCUACAGUACCAAUCUCUGGUGGCAACUGAUGAACAGAACUGCACACGACAGCAACAUCACCAGCUGUUAUGUGUGUACUUUCAUGCCGUAUGCUUCCCACAAUACAGGUCUCCGUCCAGGCAAUAUCACCAGAAGACAACAAGAUUGCCUGUAUGAACUCAGCACACACCCUGGCUACAACUGAACUAACAGGAGGACAUUCAACUCCUGGAGAAAAAGGAAUUACUUUGAGCGGUUUUGGGUUCCUCACAAUAACCCCCGUGGAUCAGGUGGCCCAAUGAGAGACCUGUUGCCACUACCACAAGACCCCAUUAAGCUCCCGGAGGUGAUAUCUUUGUUCGAUCUAACUACUCAGCUUGUAUGCAGAAAACCAACAGGAUCAGAGGAAGCUGUGGAUUAUUCCUGAUCAAACGGACAUUUGACAUAACAAACCAGACCAAAGGUAGGCAAAACCUAGCAGGUUGCAGUACCAUAGUGCCUGGGGACCGAGGAUCCAGGGUCCUAGCUGAUUGGUACUUCCUGUGCGGACACACUGCCUAUGCAUCCCUUCCUCCAAACUGGGGAGGCCUUUGUGCUCUGGUCCCUCUGGUUCCACCUGUGUUCUCAUGAACAGAACCGUCUGAACACCCCACCCCGCACGACGGAAACGUGCUGCACCGGAGUUCCACAUGAACGCCCUACAAAUGACUACCAAUACUGGAGUCCCAUGGGAGUUCCGCAUCUGGGGUGGAGGAGCAAAGUUCGGACAAUCACUCCUUCCAUGGAUCGGAGUGACAGAAGUAAGAGACCACAUCGAGAGCAACAGGUACGCAUUGCUGAGACUCCUUAACACCACCUACAAGUUUUCCAAUGCAUCAGCAGCAGAGAUGUCGGCCAUAAGAACUAUGGUUCUGCAAAAUCGACUCGUGCUCGACCUCCAGACUGCAUCAUCAGGAGGUGUGCAGAAUGGUUGGAGACACCUGCUGCACUUUCAUCCCGGACGGUACCAGUGAUGGACAGGACAUUUCUACCGCACUGCACGACUUAACAGGGCUGCAAGCCUAUGUUAAAUCUGCGACUCCUGGUGCCAGUCCCACCAGUGACAUCUGGUCCUGGCUAACACCAGGUCCAUGUCGGCACCUCCUGCUGAAAUUAUUGACCCCUAUACUCAUCGUUUUGUGCAUGUUUUUGUCUGUUUACAACAUACGCUCUGCCUUGUGUCAUGUCCAUGAUCGCAAAGGCUACCAUGCAGACUUUCAUUCGUUACCAGCUUUUCCAACAAGCUGAAGAGGAACCCUCCCCACGUGACUGCUAAUACUCCAGAGGCAUCGUAUGAAUCUCUCACACUGAAAGUGCAAAAGCAAGUGGUGAAAUGAUGUUGUGAUGCCUUGUUCUUAUGAUUAAAAACCAUGUUUCACGUUUGUACCUUCCCCUUAUGGUGUUUACUCAUGACGUGUUUGAAAUGAUAAAAAGGGAGGGAUGUUAGAGUUAAAUAAUUAUCAUUUGCUUGCACACUAUAUCUCCAUAAUAUGAUUGUCUCAUUUCUAUCUUUCAGUAAGAAAACAAUGACCUGAAAAGUUGUGAUUAUACGAGAAUAUGAUGUUCUUGUUGUUUCUGAUUAAAUGACCCACAUUCA